rnacentral:rRNA from 1 species
AUUGACCGCUGUCGGCAGGCCUAACACAUGCAAGUCGAGCGAGCGGCGGACGGGGGUGUAAUGUAUGGGGACUGCCCCCUAUUGGGGGAUAACACCUGGAAACGGUAGCUAUUACCGCAUACUAUCGGAUAACCCAUAUGGGAUUAGCUAGUUGGUGAGGGAAUGGCGCACCAAUGCGACGAUCCCUAGCUCGUCUGAGAGGAUGAUCAGACACACGUGAACUGAGCCACGGCCCAUACUCCGACGGAGGCAGCAGUGGGGAAUAUUGUACAAUGGGCGCAAGCCUGAUGCAGACAUGACGCGGGUAUGAAGAAGGCCCUAGGGUUGUAAAGUAGUUUCAGUCAGGAGGCGUUACCGACAGAAGAAGCACCGGCUAACUCCGUGCCAGCAGCCGCGGUAAUUC